UCGAGAGGCUUCCACAAUGGGGGAAACCCUGAUGGAGCGACGCCGCGUGGGUGAUGAAGGUCUUCGGAUCGUAAAGCCCUUUCAGCAAGGAAGAACAGACGGGUGAUAAUACCACCAUGUCUCAGACGGUACUUGCAGAAGAAGCUCCGGCUAACUCCGUGCCAGCAGCCGCGGUAAGACGGAGGGAGCAAGCGUUGUUCGGAUUUACUGGGCGUAAAGGGCGUCUAGGCGGGUUGGUCAGUCAGGUGUGAAACCCCCCGGCUCAACCGGGGAUCUGCACUUGAUACUGCCAAUCUUGAGUAUGGAAGAGGAAAGCGGAAUUCCAGGUGUAGCGGUGAAAUGCGUAGAUAUCUGGAAGAACACCGGUGGCGAAGGCGGCUUUCUGGUCCAAUACUGACGCUAAAGCGCGAAAGUGUGGGGAGCAAACAGG
rnacentral:rRNA from 1 species